rnacentral:tRNA from 1 species
UGGGUUGUAGCUCAGUGGUGGAGCACUUGCCUCACAUGUAUGAGGCACUGGGUUCCAUCCUCAGCACCACAU